UGUACUUGUUUUAUGAUUGUCUUAUAGCUACAUCUAUUUAACAAUCAAGUUACGCUGGUCACUACUAGUUUCGCUAGUAGCGACACGUAGAACUAAUAUAUAGUGCGUAAAUCAGAGUCAGAGUCAGUCGUGAUGCGACAGCCGGAUGAAGCAGUUUUGUAUUAGCCCUUAUACUUUUCAUUAUAUUUUAUAUAUUAAUUCUUUCUUAAUAAAAGUCUAACAAAUUUUUUAAAUUGCGAUGUCAAAACAAGAAGUUACACUCGUGUUUAGAAGAUCUAAUAAUUUUAUGGCAAUACAGUUCGGUAUAUAAUAUAUAUAAAUGACAUAAACGCGGUUAGAACAAUGUAAUUACUACUUGAGUUGUUAGAAUAUUGGAAAGUGAAUUGUGUGGUAUAUUGAUAGUCCGUUAAUCAUAAAAAGAGCGUCGAUAUUUGAAAAAUACUGGUUAAACAUUUAUGAAUAUGAGGAGUAAAGAAGAUGAUGAAGCAACAUUCAAGGAACUUUGACACACCAAGGAGAGAGGAAAAUAAACAAAUUAGAUCUACGUACGAAUAGCAAUAGACAUAAUUAAUAUUAAACUACAAAGACAAUCGAUAUGAAAUCAACGUAAGAUGUGUAGGGACAAAAACUGAAAGAGAGUACACAAGUAUGGCCGGAAUUGAAAGAAGCUUCUGAAUAUGGAGAGUAAAAGAAUAUUCCGCGGAUACAUUGAGCAGAAAGAAAUGUAAACAAAUUAAAUCUAUAAAAAAGUAACUGAACUCAAUAACAUUAAAGGACAACGAUGUUCAAUAGAAACGCAGUGUUAGUAAAAAAAGUAAUGACAAAGAUAAAGAUACGACCAAUAACAACGGAGAGAAUAAUACUGAAAACGCAGUUGAGGCACAAAAUUUUUAAGAAAUAAAAAAAUAUUGUGCGAAUUCAAUUGGAUUAAAGUAGAUCUCGAUCUGAAGCGAUUAAUUGAAAAUUAGGACGAAUAUACGAUUUCUGUAUGAGAGGCCUGAUCCUCAGCACUGAAUCCUUAUGAUACAGCACUGAAUCCUUAUGAAUUUGUCGAAUAUGGAAAAGUGACAAUACAGUGAUGCUAUAAUAUCCUCCUGAGUCCAAGAUUAUUUGCGUAAAGGCACACAAGAAAAAUAAGAUAUGUAUAAGAGUAUUAUUAUAAGUUACAUGCUCGCAAAAAAGCAGGCAAGGAAACGAAUGAAUAGAUUGUAAAUAGUGACAAAAAACAUACAAUUCCAAAACUAUUUUUAACCUCUAACAAGUUACUAUGCGAGUACAAUGAUUUCAUAAUAAAAAGCGUAACAUCCAUAAAAUAGGACUGAUAUAUCAAGAACGUGUUUAAAAUAUAAAGGUCAUAUAGUUAGUAAGUCCACAAAACCGAAGAGUAAUGUACGUUUUUAAUAUAAUCAAAUAUGUCAUUAUGUGAAUGUUUGUAUAGAGGGAAUAGACGUAUCUAGAAGAAAAUUUCGAAAAGUUAAUAAGAUUCGAAUACGGCAAAUAAGAUAUUAAUAAGAAAAUCUGAGUACAAACCAAAUAAUAACAAUCAAUCUCUAGAUAUUUACUAACAACUGAUGAUAAAAGCAUGAUGAUCAUACCUUUAUUAAAUAUUAACAGCGAAGAUUUCAUGAUCCACGAAGAGACAGUCAUUAAUCGGGGAUGACCAAUAAUACUUAAUGAGAAAUGAAAAGUUAACAAAGAACUCAUUACAUUGAGAGAUAGAUUCGAUAUCCACAUUACAUUAUGAAGUAUUUUACAUCAGGAAUGAUAACAAGAGCAGGAAAAAAUACGACAACUGAUGGAAGCUGACAUAACCGAACAGAAUGAUUCUCCAUUUUUCAAUCCUAUGAUGGUCAAUAAAAAGAUGGGCGACAUAUAAGUGUCUAUAAACUACUAGACGGUAACUCGUAAAAUUGUUAAACAACUCUUGGGAAGAAGUAGAAAAUCAAUUGGACAGACUGUGAGAUAUCAAGUAUUAUACUAUACUUUAUUUAAAUAUCUAAUGAUUAUCAUGUGUCGACAUCAGAAGCUAUAUUGAAUGUACCGAGGAGUAAGAAAAGUAAGCAAUACAAAUCUAAGAACGAACAACAAACGUCAAUAAUAUUACAAGAUAACGAUCGACAAUACGAAGGUUGAAUUGAUGAGAAAGGAGCAGCAAAGAAACAGACAUAAUCAACAACAAAAGAGACACAAUAUUGAAAGAAAAUAAGUAUGAAAGGCAGUAAAAUCAUGACCUUUUAGAGAAAUAAAUAUUAUCAUAUUAACUUAGUGUUAAUAAAAAAAUCUGAGGAGAAACGAACUUACUACAAAUAAUCCCAAAUAGUUAGUAACAAUGAACGAUUAAGGCAUGUGGAUUGUACUUAAUAGACUAUUAUUGGCGGAUAUGUUGUAAUCAACGAAGAGAUUCAUUACGCAAAGAGAUAUGAUAAUUUUUAACAGGAAUAAUGCAAAGAAGUUAUACCGAUAGAACAGAGAUGAAUGUAACACUGAUGUAUUUGACAUCCUUAUACAAUCAAUCAUAUAAAGUAUUACAUCAAAAACUGCAACAAUAGCAGCAAAUAAUGCAGCAACUUAUGAAAGUCUACAUCAUCAAAAACAGUAAUUAACUGUCUUUCUCGCAUAUUCGUGAUAAUACCGCAAAUUCUUGGUAGCACUGAAUUUAAUUUCAUAGAAAUUUGGAACUAUAUUUAUUCAAAAUUCUGAUUGUGAUUUUUGUGUGACUUUUAUGUGACAUUUGUCGUCUAAUCGAUAAAUCGCCGGAAUUCACGAAAUCGUAUACUCCUCUUCGUAAACAAAUUUUGAACUCAUACUGUCGUAUUCGUAAAGCUAAGCAGGCUGUCCGUAUCCUUCUUUAUUUUGACCGUCUACAAAAUUUUCUUUUCUCUCCUCGGACUGUACUUCAUGUUACUCGUAUAUUUACGACCUUUCCUCCUGUCAUUCGUUUGAAACCGUGUGAUCUAUUUCAAAAGUAAAAUUUCCCCAUGAUUUUUAAUGGACAAUCCGAUAGAUUCUAAAGUGCCGAUAAAAAAAACUUUCUUCUUGAUUAACCAAUAAUAUUUGGAUUUUAACUGGAGAAUUACAAACACGUACUAAGACUGUUAUAUUAAUAAUUGAACAAUUAUUAUCAAUUAUUAUCAUUAAUAAUUUUCAUUUAUACUAAAUGUAUACAUUCUGAAACAUGUACGUUUGAUAGCACUAAAUUUAAUUAGAUUAAUUUGUACAUUCAUGCAAAUUAAAAAUUCCGAUUGUGAGUUUUUAUGUGACUUUUAUCCGACGUUUGUUGUCUAUUCAAGAAAUCAUGAGAAUUCACGAAAUCAAAUAAACCUCUUCGUGACCAAAUUUCGAAUUCGAGCUGCCUGAUUUGUAGGGAAUCUCGUUAUCCAUGGUGUAUUUCAUAUGCUAUCAUUUCUGUCAACGAUUUAUUCUAAUUAUCGUAGUAAAUUUACUCGUUCUACGUCAUACAUUAUAUGACCAAAAUCCAUAUAUUUGCCAAUAAAUCCAUACAUAUUGAGUUUUAAAAAAUUGCGUUUCUAUAUUUCAUAUGCGGAUCAUUUAUUAGAUUUACGAAAUGAUGAGCUUAUUCAAACGUACCAAUAAAUGUUGUAGUGUAAUAGUUUGAAGUCAACAGUUUUAAAUCUUUUUUAAUUUUCAUUAUUUUAUCCAAGCUAAUCUCAAAGCUUACCAGGAUUUCCAAUUGAUUCCGAUACGCCGCUACUUGUCUUAUAUCUCCUUUCUUCUCCUUUUCAUAUCUAGUCGACCAUUUUCCAGUCAUGAUUCGGAAGGAGGAUAAAUCCUGAUAAAGUCGGCUUGUUAUCAUAAAAAAUAGAAAAAACCAACUACUACUUACAACUAUAACGUAAGGCACAUUACGUAGCAUAAGGGGUAUAAUCUGAAGCCAUACUCUCAAUGCUGCUACAUUUUGAAACCUUAUUUCUCACAGACAACGAUAUAAAAAACAUCUUAGUAUAUUUUCCAAAAUCAAAAUGAGGAAACAAUAUUAUUAAUUGUUAAUUAUGUAAGGAAAGAAUUUGCACUGAUUUAUUUUUACAAUUUUUAAAUCACUUAUAUGUAUAUAUAACAAUAUUGUAUAUUUAUUUUAUUGAAUCAAAUUGCAUAUUAUGGAAAUGUCGAUUUUUAAAAACACAAAAAAAAUCUCUUCAUGGAAGGAAAUCACAUGAGGUUUCAAAGCAGGCCUCGAGAGGAUACCCACAAGGAUCGAUCCUCGGCCCUUCCUGCUGGAAUUUCAUGUUCGACCAGCUCCUUAGGAUCCUGGAAAAAUCCUCGGAAGUCAACGCGAUCGCGUACACGGACGACCUACUCGUCAUCGUAGAUGGAGACUCCAGAAGACUCGAAGAGAAAGGAAAUCGCAUGGUUAACAUCAUCACCGGAUGGUGCACGUCGGCGAAAUUGACAAUCUCCAAGGGUAAGACAGAAGCGAUCGUCCUUAAGAGCAAUUGGAUAAAAA